rnacentral:lncRNA from 1 species
AUCAAAGGCAGUUCUGAGGUUCACUCUCUGAAGAAACUUAGGCAGAGACAUCCUGAUUCGUAGGAGACAAAGGCUUGGAGGACUGAUAAGCAGCACGGAAAUGCACAAGGAGCAGAGGAAGGGUGUGGUCCAUCCCGGACAGGCUGAGGUAGGUUUCUAGCCUUGAAUCUUCCACAAUGGACUUUCAUUAUUCUCAGGAUUUUGACUUCAUUAUGUCAACUCUAUAGGUAGCUAAUAGUUAGCCCCAUCUCUUUUGCCAGAAUAUAAACCCUCGGGGGGUGAGGAGGAG